GACGAACGCUGGCGGCGUGCUUAACACAUGCAAGUCGAACGAAGUGGCGAACGGGUGAGUAACGCGUCAUCAACCUGCCCUUCAGAGGGGGACACCAGUUGGAAACGACUGCUAAUACCGCAUACUGAAGGUGGGGUUUGCGUCUGAUUAGCUAGUUGGAGGGGUAACGGCCCACCAAGGCGAUGAUCAGUCGCCGGUCUGAGAGGGUGAACGGGCACAUUGGGACUGGGACAAGGCCCAGACUCCUACGGGAGGCAGCAGUGGGGAAUCGUCCGAAAUGGACGAAAGGCUGACGGAGCAACGCCGCGUGGGUGAUGACGGCCUUCGGGUUGUAAAGCUCUGUUAAUCGGGACGCGGUACCGGAAGAGAAAGCCACGGCUAACUACGUGCCAGCAGCCGCGGUAAUUC
rnacentral:rRNA from 1 species